AGAGGACUGUGUGUGUUCCUCUACAUCAGGUGAGGAACCUGGUUAUUAUAAUGGUUCAGAGGACUGUGUGUGUUCCUCUACAUCAGGUGAGGAACCUGGUUAUUAUAAUGGUUCAGAGGACUGUGUGUGUUCCUCUGUACAUCAGGUGAGGUACCUGGUUAUUA